AGAUAGCUAGUUUAACAUAAAACAACUAAUUUCGGCUUAGUCAAUCGUGAUUAAUGCCCCACGGCUACCAA
rnacentral:tRNA from 1 species